rnacentral:rRNA from 1 species
AUUGAACGCUGGCGGCAGGCCUAACACAUGCAAGUCGAACGAGUGGCGGACGGGUGAGUAAUGUCUGGGAAACUGCCUGAUGGAGGGGGAUAACUAAUGGAAACGGUAGCUAAUACAGCAUACCAUCGGAUGUUCCCAGAUGGGAUUAGCUAGUAGGUGGGGUAACGGCUCACCUAGGCUACGAUCCCUAGCUGGUCUGAGAGGAUGACCAGCCACACUGCAACGGGGAUACGGUCCAGACUCCGACGGGCGGCAGCGGUGGGGAAUAUUGUACAAUGGGCGCAAGCCUGAUUCAGCCAUGCCGCGUGUAUGAAGAAGGCCUUCGGGUUGUAAAGUACUUUCAGCGGGGAGGCGUUACCCGCAGAAGAAGCACCGGCUAACUCCGUGCCAGCAGCCGCGGUAAUAC